UACGUAGGGGGCGAGCGUUGUCCGGAUUUAUUGGGCGUAAAGAGCGUGUAGGCGGCCAGGUAGGUCUGCUGUGAAAACUCGAGGCUCAACCUCGAGACGUCGGCGGAAACCAUCUGGCUAGAGUCCGGAAGAGGAGAGUGGAAUUCCUGGUGUAGCGGUGAAAUGCGCAGAUAUCAGGAAGAACACCCGUGGCGAAGGCGGCUCACUGGCCCGGUACUGACGCUGAGGAGCGAAAGCGUGGGGAGCGAACAGG
rnacentral:rRNA from 1 species